UGGAGGGCAAGUCUGGUGCCAGCAGCCGCGGUAAUUCCAGCUCCAAUAGCGUAUAUUAAAGUUGUUGCAGUUAAAAAGCUCGUAGUUGAAUUUCGGAAUCAAUAUGUUGGUCGUGCCUUGGUACGUACUGGCGUCAUUGGUUUCUACCUUCUGAAGAACCUCGAUGUCAUUAAUUUGGUGUCUUGGGGAAUCAGGACUGUUACUUUGAAAAAAUUAGAGUGUUUAAAGCAGGCUCACGCUUGAAUACAUUAGCAUGGAAUAAUGAAAUAGGACGUUUGAUUCUAUUUUGUUGGUUUCUAGGAUCGACGUAAUGAUUAAUAGGGAUAGUUGGGGGCAUUAGUAUUCAAUUGUCAGAGGUGAAAUUCUUGGAUUUAUUGAAGACUAACUACUGCGAAAGCAUUUGCCAAGGAUGUUUUCAUUAAUCAAGAACGAAAGUUAGGGGAUCGAAGACGAUCAGAUACCGUCGUAGUCUUAACCAUAAACUAUGCCGACUAGGGAUCGGAUGAUGUUAAUUUUUUAAUGACUCAUUCGGCGCCUUACGGGAAAC
rnacentral:rRNA from 1 species